UACGAAGGGGGCUAGCGUUGCUCGGAAUCACUGGGCGUAAAGGGUGCGUAGGCGGGUCUUUAAGUCAGGGGUGAAAUCCUGGAGCUCAACUCCAGAACUGCCUUUGAUACUGAAGAUCUUGAGUUCGGGAGAGGUGAGUGGAACUGCGAGUGUAGAGGUGAAAUUCGUAGAUAUUCGCAAGAACACCAAGUGGCGAAGGCGGCUCACUGGCCCGAUAUUGACGCUGAGGCACGAAAGCGUGGGGAGCAAACAGGA
rnacentral:rRNA from 1 species